CCAGACUCCUACGGGAGGCAGCAGUGGGGAAUAUUGCACAAUGGGGGAAACCCUGAUGCAGCGACGCCGCGUGAGUGAAGAAGUAUUUCGGUAUGUAAAGCUCUAUCAGCAGGGAAGAUAAUGACGGUACCUGAGUAAGAAGCCCCGGCUAACUACGUGCCAGCAGCCGCGGUAAUACGUAGGGGGCAAGCGUUAUCCGGAUUUACUGGGUGUAAAGGGAGCGUAGACGGCAUGGCAAGUCUGAAGUGAAAGCCCGGGGCUCAACCGCGGGACUGCUUUGGAAACUGUUAAGCUGGAGUGCAGGAGAGGUAAGUGGAAUUCCUAGUGUAGCGGUGAAAUGCGUAGAUAUUAGGAGGAACACCAGUGGCGAAGGCGGCUUACUGGACUGUAACUGACACUGAGGCACGAAAGCGUGGGGAGCAAACAGGAUUAGAUACCCGUGUA
rnacentral:rRNA from 1 species